rnacentral:misc_RNA from 1 species
AUUGGGUUUUCUACCUGGGGAGGUAAGAGAUUGAGAUCUUCACAAUGCUGCUGGUCAAAAUCUCGUGUUCCCGGUGUUGCACCAGAACACCACCUCACGAACUCGUUCCCUGUGAGACAAUAUUGUGCGAAUGCCAGACUCCCGUCAACCAUCCCACCGAGAUUUGGCAUGGAAACUGAUUUUCCUAUGCCCUUGAUCCUGGUUUUUCUCCUGUCACCGCCUUUUUCACUAGUCAAAACCUUAUCGAGAUCAGAAUAUUCGAUGAAUCUCUGUGUUGCAGCUUCCCACGAAAGCUUAUAUUGUUCCUCGGGAGUUAGAGGCUGAGGUUCACCGGUCAUUGCCUCUUUAACCUUUGUUACAAAGUCUUCUGAUGUCUUAUACGUCAAGCAGUUAGGAAAUGCCUGGAAGAACUCAUUAGACGGAUGAUCUGCACAAACUACAAAUUUCCCCAUAGCGAGUGCCUCAGCUGUAGCUGUACAGAGUACAUCGCUGAUACUAGGAUUUAUAAAGACUUUAUAACUAUGAAGAGAAUCAUCCGCGUGGUCUCUGCCUUUCAUGAAGUUGACAUUCAAAUUUAACGUCCUAGCCGUUGUCUGCACUUCAUGAGCGUCUUCCCCGUUGCCAAACAAAUCCAUAUUAAAACCAUCAAGGUCACUUUUGUGCUUCGCUAAAAGGUCUAUUAACUCCCUGUA